CGUAUCCAUGUAUGUGACUUAAAUGUUUUAAAACUUAAUAAUUUUUAACAAGGUCAUAAGUUUUAAUAUAACCUGGUGUAUCUCGGACCUCUUCAGGUGAAGGUCAAGCCAGAUCUGUUCGAUGUAAUAUGUUAGCCAUCAUUUUAAGAAAGAAAAUGUCUAAUAAUCUGGUGUAUCUCGGACACCUCUUCAGGUGAAGGUCAGGCCAGAUCUGUUCGAUGUAAUAUGUAAGCCAUCAUUUUAAGAAAGAAAAUGUCUAAUAACCUGGUGUAUCUCGGACCUCUUCAGGUGAAGGUCAAGCCAGAUCUGUUCGAUGUAAUAUGUUAGCCAUCAUUUUAAGAAAGAAAAUGUCUAAUCAUGGAUCGUUUCUUGUAAGUGACUACAUUUGAAUUCUCUUUUCUCUAUUAUUCAUUCUAGUCAUUCGUGACUUCCCGAAUCUUUCUUGAAUAAUUAAAACCGUUAACUUUAACACCUUGUAAGCAUCUUUACGAGAGUAUGUAGAUUUUAACCACGUGAUUUUGAACCACAUUUCCCCAAAUCCAACUCUCUCAGGGUAGUUUACCUUUAUUGUAGUUACAUCACAGUCAAAUUUUGUAACAUUCUACCAUGAGUUAGAGGAAAGUAGAAAAGUUCUUGCAUGAUACGUUGGUUUAUUUCUUUUUUUCUUCGGGGAGGGGGGGGAGUGGCUUCAACAUUUUCUGUGACAGGUUGAACUAAACUUUGUCUAGUUUGUGAGAUAAUUUGGUACAAACACUGUGACAGACCAAACCGAUACGACAAAGUAAAGCAAAAGAAGCUGGUGAAAUGGCAACUUUAAAAAUCAUCUUUAAUAAUAAUAAUAACAAAAUUUGUAUCUAGGACUAACUAACCCCUGAAAUGUUAAACAUAAUUAAACUGAUUUUGUUCAAUCGAAGAUUUGACAAAUUUGUAUUUUUUUCUUCUUUUUUUUGCAUAUAUAAUGUAUUUUUCAGCCAAUGUAGAUUUAAGUAUAAUAGGUUUUAGUUUCAUUUCCCUGUAAAAAAUGAUAUAACUUAUCUAUUUAAAUUGUAUUCAGUUUUAACCUGUUAAUAGGAAGGAUAUCUGUGCAAAAAUGUUUUAUGUUUCAUAGUUAUCCAUUAAUCCCUUGUGUUGAUUUCAUAUAUUCACGUUAAUUAACACAGAGACACCUAGUGAAGCAAUGGGUUACUUCGGGCAUUCCAGCCGAAACUUUAAGCUAAAAAUUAUAUCUUUGAGCCACAAGAGUAUUAAUUUGUGUUAUCAAGGCCAGUAAAUAAAAAGAUGAAAAGUUGUUGAAGAUAAAAGUGAUAAAAGAUUAACUUACUUUGGUAUCUUGUGUCUUUCAUUUUGUAUUUUCUUUUCAUUGUUAAUGUCAUUUUUCUGUAAAAUUAGAACAUUUUAACUAAUUUCUAAUAAUUUUAGUCACGAAUAUUUUUUCCAUGCAUCGCAUCGUCUAAAGUUUGUAUUGUUUUUUUUUUUUUUUGCGUAAUAAGAGUGUGUAGCGAAAAGAAACGCCACCUAGCCGUAACUUAUUACAUUAUUCUCUACUAAAUCUUGGUCACAACAGAAUAAUCGCAUGGCUGUAUCGUAAUGCCCCCUGUCUCAUUUGUGUGUUUGUUUCUGUGCAUUCUUGAAGAAAAAAUAACAAAAACAACUCAAAUGGAAUAUAUAUUCCCUGUCUAUCAUUUUAUGCAUUGAAAUAUAUUUGCUUAAUAAAAAUGGUUUAAAAAUCAA
rnacentral:lncRNA from 1 species